CGAGGAGGAAGUUCAAGUGGCAGCACUACAGUGGGUGAGAGACUUUUAUCUGCUCUACUAACAGAAAUGGAUGGUUUAGAGCAGGCAAAAGGCAUUCUUGUUUUGGCUGCUACAAACCGUCCUCAUGCAAUUGAUGCUGCACUUAUGCGACCUGGACGCUUUGAUCUAGUGCUUUAUGUCCCACCACCUGAUCUAGAAGCUCGG